UUGAGCUGAGGGUAAUUUAAAGUUAUCCCUGUGUGAAAGGACAUCUUUUGUGAAGAGUGAAGCUCAG
rnacentral:snoRNA from 1 species